rnacentral:lncRNA from 1 species
GCCUAAGCAAGCAUUGAGUUUUGCAUCAAAAAAUAUGAAGGGCAAAGAAGCUUUGUUGUAAAGCUAGUUUUAACUCAUAGUUUGUUUAAUUCGAAUAAAUAGGUCCGAGAGAUAUUCUAUACUUAGUGUCCUAAAGUCAUCUGGUUCAGGAGUUAUUGGCUAAAAACUCACUACUGGGUCAAACAAAAAGCUUAAGGGGUUAAAACACUCAAUAGCAGUAUAACAUAAAAUAAUAAUAAUAAUA